GAACUAGAAGCACAAGCAUUUCACUACACUCGCAAUAACAUCUGCUAAACAUGUGUAUGUGACCAAUAAAAUUUGAUUUGAAGUUAUCUGAUGAAGUAACAGGAAAGGCAUGUCCCAACAUGCAUCAGGGUGUCCUUCUCCUCCUCCAGCAUUAUCAUGAGUUCCUCAUACCGUCACGUGUAGGAGAACGGAAAAUAAAGGCAACUUACAGAGAAGUCACAGUAUAUAUUAAAGGACUUCAGCUGUGCUUGAUCUAGGAACGAUGGAAACAACUAAUUAGUCCCAAAGACGCUGAUCAUAAAGUCUGUUCAUCUCGAUACUUCAAAACUCCUAAGAUCGUCACAAAUCCAGUGUGUGGGUCUUCCAGUGAGUUGGUGAGGAUUGAGGAACUAUGGCACAGUUUGAAAGCUUGAUAUGGACUAUACAUUUUAUACUUCUAAACAUUGAGCCCUGUUCCACAUAUGAUCCAGCCAUCUAUAAAAUAGGUGAUAGAGAUUGCAUAAUGUGUAGGCCUGGAAAUCGUGUACAUAGUCAUUGUACUAAAUCUAAACAUACACCUUUCUGUGUGGCCUGUAUUGACUCCACCUUCCUUGAUGAGCCCAGUGGUAAAACAACAUGCAACAACUGUACCACAUGUGAUCCAGGUUUGGGUUUGAUGGUAAAGCAGCCAUGUAGACCUUCAUCAGACACUGUCUGUGGAACACUGGAGGGGUUCUACUGUCUAGACCCAACUAAGGAUGGUUGUAGAGCAGCCCAGAGACACAGCAGCUGUAAACCUGGUCAAUACAUCAGCCACACAGGAACAACAUCUACAGAUACUGUGUGUUCUGACGGUACUGGUGAUACCUAUUCAGAUGGAUCAUUAACAGCCUGCCAGACAUACACACAGUGUAAAUCCUUAGGUCUUCAAGAACUUAGACCAGGAACUAAUUUGUCCAAUUCUGAAUGUGGACCACAAUCCUCACAAAUAGAAACUGGAAUCAUCAUUGGUGUUGUUGUGGCAUCAGUCCUAAUAGCUCCUGCAAUAAUAAUAAUAAGAAGAAGAAGAAGAAGAAGAGGAUAUAUAAUUCUAAGGAGGAUAAAAAGUCCAACAACAGUGACUUUUUCUCCAGUGACAGUAAAUGCUGUAGAGGCAUCAUCAGAUUUAGAGGAAACACCAAGCAAUGUAGUACAAUGAAACAGAAGAAAGUACAGCAUCUUGCAGGUGCUGGUUUUGUAAAUGAUUCAAGCUCUGACCGCACUCAUCAUUACAAAUGCUACCUGAGGAAUGGCAGACUAAGGAGCUCCUCUCACGUAUGACUCCACUGUCUGAUGAAGAAACAGAGCCGCUUGAUGACAUUGGAUCUUCCUCAAGAGGUCAAAGGGCAGACUAACCUCUCAGGCAGUAACAUCCCAGUCUGCUUCAGUGGCCCAGAAAUCAUGAGCAAACCCAGACUCAGAGCUGGAUAGCCUUCAUCUCUUCUGAGGACCCAGCGAGGGUGGAGCACAGUGAGACACUUCUACAGCCAGAGAGGGGCAGUCAAGAAAUGGAACAGCAAGGCCACAGAACAUGUCACGCAGAGCUGUGGGAUGGUGUUUACCACACCACCACCAAACGCCUUCAACAGGCUUGAAAAGUGGGAUUGAUCUGUUUGAUCCAUUUGUUUGUUUCAGUUUUCAGUAGUUGAAUCCUUUGACAUAUUGUUGAUUUACAAAAAAAAAACAUUUUCAACAAAAAUGCAAUGGAUUGGUUAAAAGGUGAUACUAAACUUAUAUACCACGCACAAUUUUGACAUAGUGGAAGAUAUACUGAAUUUGUACCGUUUUUCAUUCUAAGAUGGACCAAGAUGUACGUAGCUUUUGCAGAUAUUUGUUCAUUAGUCUUGCAAGAGUGUUGAUUGGUCGAUCAUUGGGUUCAUUAGUUUUGCAAUAUAUUGUUGCCAUUGAUUAAAAGAGUAAGAAUAUGAUGCAAUAUCCAACCCAAAAUGUAAACUUGUUUUACUCCAUUGUUUGUAAGCAAUAUAAUUGUAAAAAACAAAAGUCAGUUGGUUGCAUAAAUAAUGACGAUUACUAAAUGUUACAUGAAAUGUUACAAGAAAUAUCAAAACCGAAUUGAAUCGCCUUUGUUAAAAUGUAAUGGCAAUAAUUCACUUAAUGUUAAGGCAUGGAAUAAUGGAUGUUUGAAAUAUGAGCAGGUGAUGAUUCGAGUCAGUGGUGGAAUAAAGACAAUUAGAACAAAUGUUGUACAGAAAUACUGUGUGUAAAUACUGGAGUGAUGUAUGAUUGUUAAUAAAAUGUCCAUAGACCAA